CUAAUACAUGCAAGUCGAACGAGAGCGACCGGUGCUUGCACUGGUCAAUCUAGUGGCGAACGGGUGAGUAACACGUGGGUAACCUGCCCAUCAGAGGGGGAUAACAUCCGGAAACGGAUGCUAAAACCGCAUAGGUCUUCGANCCGCAUGGNUUGAAGAGGAAAAGAGGCGCAAGCUUCUGCUGAUGGAUGGACCCGCGGUGCAUUAGCUAGUUGGUGAGGUAACGGCUCACCAAGGCCGUGAUGCAUAGCCGACCUGAGAGGGUGAUCGGCCACAUUGGGACUGAGACACGGCCCAAACUCCUACGGGAGGCAGCAGUAGGGAAUCUUCCGCAAUGGACGCAAGUCUGACGGAGCAACGCCGCGUGAGUGAAGAAGGUUUUCGGAUCGUAAAACUCUGUUGUUAGAGAAGAACAAGUGCUAGAGUAACUGUUAGCGCCUUG
rnacentral:rRNA from 1 species